UACGUAGGUGACCAGCGUUGUCCGGAUUUACUGGGCGUAAAGAGCGCGCAGGCGGUCGUUCAAGUCGAGUGUGAAAGCCCCCGGCUCAACUGGGGAGGGGCACUCGAUACUGAUCGACUUGAAGGCAGGAGAGGGAAGCGGAAUUCCCAGUGUAGUGGUGAAAUGCGUAGAUAUCGGGAGGAACACCAGUGGCGAAGGCGACUUCCUGGCCUGUUCUUGACGCUGAGGCGCGAAAGCUAGGGGAGCAAACGGG
rnacentral:rRNA from 1 species